GGAGGCAGCAGUGGGGAAUAUUGCACAAUGGGCGCAAGCCUGAUGCAGCCAUGCCGCGUGUAUGAAGAAGGCCUUCGGGUUGUAAAGUACUUUCAGCGAGGAGGAAGGCGUUAAGGUUAAUAACCUUAGCGAUUGACGUUACUCGCAGAAGAAGCACCGGCUAACUCCGUGCCAGCAGCCGCGGUAAUACGGAGGGUGCAAGCGUUAAUCGGAAUUACUGGGCGUAAAGCGCACGCAGGCGGUCUGUCAAGUCGGAU
rnacentral:rRNA from 1 species